CGCGGAGUGGAGCAGUGGUAGCUCGUUGGGCUCAUAACCCAAAGGUCGUCUGUUCGAAUCAGGCCUCCGCAACCA
rnacentral:tRNA from 2 species